AAACUUGGGAUCCUCCUGCCUUGGCCUCUCAAGUAGCUGGGAUUAUAGGUGCGCACCACCGUGCCCAGCUGCAUUCUGUGAUCUCACCUAUAAGGUGAAGGAUGUGUUGAGCGAAGGCCACUGGAGCACCUCCCACAAUCAGAAGCAGUAGCUACCACGUGACUAGAAAGGUAGGGUGGGGUGACAGUGAGAAAGUCUUCAUUUUCCAAGUCACAGUGGCUGGUUAACAGGAGACACCAGAAAGCUGGACAUUUAGAUGACAUGCUUCUUAUCCUUGUGAUUUUUAUUUAGUAUGAAGGGUUUCUCGCUCUCCCUGUACAUCUUCCACGAGGGUCCAAGAACUCAGCGAGGCUGGUUAACUCAAUUCGUGUGAUCUGAACUUGUCACAGUAGCCACAAAGUAGUUGCUUUUAUUGCAAAAUCUCCUUUAAGGUUUUCUUAUAAUUUAGUCUCUACUUUGAGAAAGAGUCUUGGCUUAUUCUUUGUUUUGGAAUUAGAGAUUAUCAUAGUUGUGUUCCUUGAUACCAAGGAUGUUCCCAGUCACAUCACCCACCUUCCUGGGCUGACUCUGGGCCAGAUAUGGACAGGAUAUGAAGGAAGUGGGACCACAGUCCUGCACUCAGGGGUGUUUACAGUUAGAUGAAAGGAAAAAAAAAAAAACCCAAAAAACUAGAACAUCGCUAGCUGAGAUUAAUUGCUGUUUUAAGGAUUAAGAUCACAUCUAGCAAAAUGGAGUCAAUUGAAACACUUUAUGUGGAAACCCAGGAAAUUUUACUGGCAAAAUUAUUUCAACAUUUACAGGUCUGAACUUUUGACUUUGGAUGUCAGCCCAACUGAAUGUUUAGGGACCGAGAAUAAUGAUUAAUUACCAUUUCUCCAAAGAGGCUGAAGUGUUGAGGAGAGACGAAACAAGGCUCUUUUAAAAUUUAACACAUUUACUCGAAGAUUAGAUGAGGGGAUAAAUAAUAUAUAACAAAAGCGGUAACUGAGACCGCUCCGUGAUAUGGGAGGAGCAAACGGUGCUGGGUUGCUUCUGCAUCAGAGUUAGCUGCUGUCUUUGGGCUCAGCAUCUCAAACAGGACACGGCACACAGCAACCCCUCAGAACACAGGCAAGAGUGAGUGAGUGAGUGAACGCAGGGUGUCUGGGCUCAGCCUGUCCUGGGCAAUCCAGCUCUGGAGCCAAAUGUGUGUCCUCACCCACACCAACAAGAGGCCUCCCAAGCUCACAUCCGUGGAUCACCUCCGGGCCUGUCAACCGUGACUUCGUCAUACGCCUUGAUCGUCCCUCUCUCUCACACCAAGCAGCUCAUGAAAACAUCCCUUUCACCACACAGACUCCUUGAAGAGAGGCCUGGGACAGACACCGUGGAGAACUUCUUUGUAAACCCGUGAACCUCACUUCUCAAGUUCCACAGACUCGUUCCUGAAAGUGACCUGUACACUGCAGGACCAGGCAGGAGGGCAGCGGAUUCACCUGCUUUCCUCGGGCCCAAGGGAGCUGCAGGCAGAGUGCCGUCUUCAUCAUGACUGGUCCCUUUAUACGCGAUGCCUACUGACAGGUGCCUCACAGGACCACAGGAGGCGAGGCAGGCGGAAUACCUCUCUCCUUGGGCCUCCUGCUCCAAGUGUGCUUAGACUCUAAAACGGCUUGUGCUAUUGUUUGAAUGUGUGCCCCCAAAUUCAUGUGCUAAAAACUUUCGCCCCAGUGCAGCAGUGCAGAGAAGUGGCACCUCUAAGAGGUGGUUAGAUCCCGAGGACUCCGUCUUCAGGAGGGUGUUAAUGCCAUCAUGGGAGGUGGGGGGCCAUUACUGCAGGAAUGCUCCUGAGGAAAGGGGGACUUCCGCCCCUUCUCCCUCUCAUAUCUGUGCUCUUCGGCUCUAGUGUGAUGCAGCAAGAAAGCCCUCACCUGGGACUUCCCAGCGUCCAGGCCAUGAGCCAGCUAAACUUCCAUUGCUCAGAAAUGACUCAGUUUGUGGCUUUCUGUUAUAGCAGCAUGCAGCGCACUGAGACUGCUUUCUUGGCAGAAAAAAGCAGAAUACCCAGAUUCUAUCCUAAGAUGCCGAGCCAUUCUGCGGCUCCUUAUGCACCACAAAUGGUAGGAUCAAAACACCAGACCUAAAAUUUCCCAGUGAAGUUGAUGGGGCUCAACCCCCGUUGGCCGGGUGCCUUGGGUGGUUAGCCAUCUCCUACUCCUCCUUCAGUCACUCCACCUUCAGCUCAUUCUGUCACCUUGCUGUCAGAGACUUGACGUCUCUGGUGCUCUACUUCUGCUUUCUUCACCCAGGCCCAGCUAUUUACCUUCCCAGAUACCGACUUCCUCCUGAAAAAGGUGACAACGGCUUCUGGUCCUUUUUGCUCUCAUACUGCACACAGAUUGUCCUCUGCAAACUUGAUCCAGGCUGCUUCCCUGGACACUGUUUGGAAAGAAGGGCCCCUGACCAGAGGGAGCUCUAGAAACAAACACAACUUUCUUGUGGAGCUGCGGCCAGCCUGCCUUUCUGCCCACCUCCAUCCUGGGAUCCAGGGGUCCAUGCCAGACAGUCCUGCCUCAGCCGCCCUCACGAUUCCAAGGGGGAAAACAAAUCUACAGAAGGGAGAGAGUAUUUCAGUGAGAGGAUGUGGCCUGGGGAGAGAAAUAGGAAUGAGAACUGGUUUGAUCAGAACUCAUGCUUCAAGUUGGAGUUUUCAAGUGUUUCAAGGAGGAGGAUCAGUGGGGUAAAAAUAUUAAAGACUAGUGUUAAGGAAUUUGGAAUCCAUUAGUUAAAAACCAUUUGAGAUAGUUUCAUAACAUUAUUGAUAUUAGCAUUUUUAUUUACUGAGAAAAAAUGUGUAAGAUAUUUCACUAUGAUUGAUGAGUGUUUAUGUUCCUUGAAGUUUUAUUUAAUUGUUGUUUUACUUAUUUUGAGACUGUGUUAUUCAUUGCAUACUGGUUGAGAAUUGCUAUACUUCCUUAUGAAUUAACCUUUAUCAUCAUAGAGUGGCUACCUUAUCUGAAAUAAUGAAUUUUGUCUGUAAUUCUAGUUCAUAUGAUAUUAAUAUUAUACCACCAAUUUUCUUUUGGCUAGUAUUUGACCCAGAGUAAAAUAUUCUUUGUUGCUGGACCAUCUUGGAAAUGUUCCUUUCGCGCUUUUAACCUAUAUUAACUAUGUAAUUCUGUUUCUUCUCCCCACUGCCAUUUAAUAGUACUCCCAAACCUGGGCUUGAACCUACAGGUAUAUGUAUACAGGGAUGCACAUACUAACUUGUAUGUGCUGCUUGUUACUAUCUCCCAAAGAGAGUUUAUUGUAUGAAUCUUAAGCUCAUUUGAGACUCAUUUCACAACUUACCUCCAGUCUCACAUUAUCACCACCUCUCAUCCUUUUUCCCUAAAAAAUGAACUCCUUCCCUAUAUCUCCUACUCCCUUCUUUUUUCUUGAGUGUGGAGCCUAGGAGUCAUCCCUCUCUUGUUUGUUUAGCUUUCACCAGCCUGGGUCCAGUGGCCUUGGCUGGAGAGGCCAACAGAACCUCAGCACAGGCUCCCAGGAGAGGCUAAAGGCUGGCAUGCAGGGGAAAGAAAAGCUAAUAUGUAGAACAUCUGCCAAAUUCUUCCUCUUCCUCUGAAAUUCUGAUCCUUUGAAGCCCUUGAUUGUCCUGGAAAGUUUUGCAAUCCAAGGUCCCCAAAUUCUCAAGUGAGGUCUUUAGUAAAAGUGAAAUUCAGUGAAAUCCCUGGCAACAUCUCCCUGGAUGGGAAAAGGAAUCAGGAAUCAGAUUCCUGAUCUGGGAAGCUGUGUAUCACAAUAUGGUAAGGUGUGUGCUCAGGGCUUGAGCAGGGAAGGGCCUGUCCAGCUGAGAAUGACCUCCUCCUCCCUACCAGAAUCUUGUUCCCAACUCUACCUGAAGCCCAGGAUGGAGAGAGAGAGAGAAAAAAAAAUCCUUCUUAGAAGAUUUUCCAUUAUUUUUCUCCAUGUGAUCAGCACGGAUGAAAGAGUUCUGUGAUUGAGUUGAGGGUCACAUCUAACUAUUGGACCAUGGCAACAGAUACUGAGCAUCACAAUUGGUUGUCACAUAGGACUUUCGUGGGGUUUGGAGUUUUAAAUGCCAUUGUUGUUCUCUAUAUGGUAACCCCCUCAGCGCUCUCACUUACGCGCUCUCUCUCUCUCUCUCUCUCUGUCUCUCUCUCUUCCUCUCCCCCCCACCGGCCCUCUCAGGUGAAUUCAGGUGCCCUGGUGUCUGUAAAAGUCUUGUCUUUAGAAAUCCUUGCCCAGCUUUCUUUCACUCAGAGAAUUGGUUUUCUCUCAAGAAAAUGCUCUUUCCUUUUACUGCACAGUGAACUGGGAGCCCUAAAAGGAGUGGACGGAGACAAAAGUGAGGCCAGUGGAAUUUGCCAUAUUGGACCCCAGGAGAUGAGAGAAUUAUCAUUCAGUUCUCUGAAACCUGAAGUUUUAGGGGUCUAUUGAGAGGAGAAAAAAAUGUUCCUUGGUUUUUGUGACCUACUUAAACAUUCUUUGCAAGCUGUAAUCAUUUGAGGUUUUCUAAGAAAAGAGGAGAAAAUAGUCUAAAUAUAACCCUGAAAGGCAGGUAACCUGACAACAAAGCAACCCAUCUGCAGAGAUGAUUUCUCUGGAAACUGGCAAAACAGGCGAUUUCCCUGGUCAUUCCUGGCGUGCCUGCUACCACACCUCAUCCCUGCUCUGGAUUCCUGGUGGCACUACUGGCCUUUUUUCCAAAUGUCGUGCCAGGGCCACCCACAUCCCAUUCCUCCCACCUGGAACACCCAGCUCACUCCUCCCCCAAGCCUUUCCCACCUACCUUCAAAAUGCAGUUUGAGACCCUUCGCAGAGAUUGACUCAAAGCCAGCUCUUCCAUUAAGCCUGUGGUUCUGUCUCCAGCCCCUCGAGACUCUUGGAACCUUCGUCCAGUGUGCUGUAAGGUAGGGACAGCAGGGAAUGCAGGGCCAGCCGUUUGGUCCAGUGGUGGAGGUGGACCUGUGCUGUCUGCCCGCACUCUGCCGUGGAGUCUGCCCUGUGAGGAGCACCAGUUCUGUGCCAGCAGGGCUGCAGGUGCAGGCCAACCAAGAACGGCAUGGAGCUCGCUCAGCUCAGCUGACCAGCUGCACCCUCGCAGCCACAGGUCACCCCUCCUUGCUCUUUAUGCAUAUUGGCAUUCCAUCUUUUCUCCCGGGUGGCAGGUGUUUCCAGAGACGGUGCCUGAGUAUAUUAAGGGAUGUGGCAGAGUAGAAAGGUGGUAAGAGCAGUCAGCACAUGUGAGAAUGUGGUGAUCUUGCAGGCCUUCCACCAUAAGGAUGCACUUGCUCCUUGGAACCACACCAUAAAUGCCACAAAGGAGGCAUUACUCUCAUUUUAAGGAUUAGAAAAAUAAAACACAGAGGACAUGCAGUCAGUAAAGGCCAAAGCCCAGGCUCUUGACCCUAAGCCCUCGACCCAUCUGGGUUUUGGAGUCACACAACACACACAGGGCUGAACUCACACUGACUGGACUCAGGAAGAGGCAUGGUCAUCUGGUAUUCUUAUUCAAUCUCUUUCAAUCUGAUUUGAAAAAGUGACAGAGAGAAAGUUAUGCAGCUUAGAUAUUUAGCUCUAGAUGAGCCUGGACAUCACAGUCAAGGUGGUCACCAAGGGUGGGCAGGGACCAGCACUUAGCAGGUGCAGUGAGUGCACUCAUCAUGUUGGGGAGCCGAACAGGACUCCCACGAAGUCGUUUCUGUCCCUCUCAGGUUCUCUACGCCAGGGUGACACUGUGGUUUUAAUAGUUUUAGGUGUUAAAGUCAUUAGAAGGUAAGUAGGAACCAUCACUGAAACUUUUCUUAUUUUAUAUGAAAGGGAAAGUUUAAAACCUUGCAUUUAACAACUAACUGGAAUAAAAGUUCUAACUUUUAUUUAGAACUGCCAUAUCAUCGAACAUAAAGUUUUCUUUUUCACUGUCUGAAUCUGAAACUUUCAGGAUUAUUUUGUUAAGAUCUGAAAAGGUAAUUUGACAUACUGAUCUAUAAAGUGUGAAUUACCCCAGGGGUUAGGAGGUAAGUUUCUGUAGUAAUUAGUGUGCCAGAAAUAAUUUCCUCCCUCUCCCCCGCCCCUUCCCCCCACGUACUCGCUUUACUCUGGGUCUCUCAAGUCAUUCUUCCAGGACUGCCUAAUGUAAUGAAUUCCUCCCCCUCCACCCUAGGGAGGACCAUUAUUGCCAUUCUCUUGUGGAGCUGUGUGCUUUCUUGUUGACCUCGUGGUAUAUCACAGAACUGUAAAAUUCUAGCUGUCAGUAAUGUGCUGGGAAAGGCAAUUUUAAUGGGGUGAUUUUUUUCUGCAAGCGAGGGUUAGGCAGGACCCUCUCUCUAUCUUUCCCGCUUUCUUGGUUCUGUACUCAGGAUCUUGGUGAGAUUUGAGGCUAUCUGGCAAAGUCCAUGUUCUCCCACUUAUCAGCCCGCUGGUCCUGAGAAGCUAUUGAUAGUCACUGAGCCGUGUGUAAAACUGGGAUGAAAACAUUUGCCUCCCUCCCCCACCAGGGCUGUAGAGUAUCCUGGUUAUUCACAGAAAGUGGAAAUGCUUUGUAUGCUCCUAAGUUUUAUUUUGAUAAAUGAGGACAACUGCCAAGUUGUGCAUGCCCAGGAGCCAGGUGCUCUAGAUCCGCUAUUGAAAUAUCCGCACCAAGUCCACAAGGUGUCCCAUUCUGUGAUGGGAACUGCAGGGCUUGAGGGAUGAGUGCAUUGCUGAAGGUGACGAAGAGGUCGUAGGACCAAUUUCCUUCAGAGCAAAUUGCUACAUAGCUUUAUCAAAGGUCUUUAUUCUUGUGCCAGCCCUUGGCCAUAAAGACAGUAUAGAAGAUUAACCACAAGUCCCCGACCCUAGGGCACAUUGUUUAGCUUCUAUAAGUUGUAAGUAACAGAGACUCUCAGUUUAAAGGGAUUUCAGAGAAAUCCAGGGACGAAAACUGAAUUACAGUUGGGUGUUGAUGGAAGCUGGAGAAUCAAGACUACUCUUGCCUUCCUCCUCCUCCUCCUCCUCCUUCCCUCCUUCCUUCCUCCUCCUCUCCCUCCUCCCCCUCCCUCUUCCUCCUCCUCUCUCUGGCCACACAGUGGAAAAUCCUUUUGCGUGCUCCUCCCCCUUCUUUUCUAUUUUGCUGGGCUCCCUGGUGACCUCUUGCCGGUGGCCCACACGGUUUCCCCACACUCUCCACAGUGGCACCUGUUGCUGGGCCUACUUGGCUUCUGCUCCUACUGCAGAGUGGAAACCCUCCAGAGUCUCAUGGUUCCCAUUCCCAGGGAAGAAGCUCGUUGGUUCCAUUCACACCUUCCGCUCAGGUCUCAGGUCUCUGAGUGCUGACCAGGUCCUGGGUUGGUAGCUUUUGCUUCAGGAUGGCUCUGGGACUGACCGGAAGCCAUGGAAGAGCAGCAGAUGAGAGCGGCAUGACUAUCUGGAAGGCGUUUUUGCCUUUCAUUUGGGGCAAAAGUCCCGUAUAUUCCUGUUGCCUUUUAGCUCUUGUUCCCUUCUUUCCAACAUAUUCUCUGUUUCCAAAAUAAUUUUCAGUAAUUGGGUCCCAGUUGAUUCAGAUUUUAUGAUAUAGGUUCCAGGAAGCACGGGACCUUGAAUCUUGCCUUCUGAUUCCCCAUUUCUGGUAUCAGUGCCAUAGUUCCAUAUAUCAUUAUUUCACAUGUUUUUGAAGAAGGUAGUAGCAAACCGUGUCACAGUAUUUCAAAAAGCUUCUAUUAACAGAAGCCACUGGGUCCCAAGAUUAUUGCUGGAAUAUGUGCAAUUUAAUUUAAAACAUGUUCAAAGUAGAAAGUCUCUGAGUAGUGAAGGAAAGGAAGGGCUGGUCUUCCCUCCUGGGCCUCCGGCCUGCUGCCUUCCCACCGUCCUAGGUUCUGCUCUCCCGGCUGUGGGGCUUAGCAGGGAGGCCUUCUCUUGCUUUACUUGAAUAUCUGCUUACAACUAUUUUUCAUUUAAAAAAAGGACAGCUGUUGUUCAGUGGACACAUGCACGGCUCAGUUCUGCGUACACGGCUGUGGGGUAGACAGCUCUGUUUAGGGCAGGAGCCCCAGGGGAGCUGGGACCGAACUCUGAUUUAUGCUGACUGCGGUUGUGGGAGAGUGGAGAGCCACGUGUCGACACCCCAUCACGUUGGGUCGGGUGGCUGAAACCUCCCUACGACUCACGGCCCAACUCCUGGAUUUAUCUGCCUCUUGAAGAGAAAGUGCUCGUCACUACUGGAAGGUUUUCUGUUUGGGGUAUGGGCUUCUCUGUUUCCCAAUCUUACUUUUCUUAAUUCUGUCCACACUCUAGAAGCCUCCACUCUGUUAGCAAGACACCAGGUUCUUCUGAUGCAAACCUGACUUAGACCUUGGGCUCCGUGGGCUUCUUCAGGCCCUAAGUCUGUGAUCGGGUAGAUUGCCUUGUGUGCAAGUAGUCAGACGGGGCUGACAAUCUCUCACUCUGAGGCAGCAUUAGGCCCUCUUGCUUCGCCAUGCCACCUACCCCUGGCAGGGAUAAAAAUUAAUUGUUGCAAAAACAAGACAGAGAGUUCCUCUAUACAUUCACCUGCUUACCCCAGAGUCGACAUCUUAAAUAACCACAGCAACAGUGUGGAAAACAGGAAAUUAACCCUGAUACAAUACUGAUUUCUCAUCUACAGAUCUUUCCAAUGUUCACCAGACUUCCCACUGAUGUCUUUUUUUGUUUUCCUGGUAUAGACUCUAAUAAUACAGGAUAUUAUUUGCAUUUACUUGCCUGGUCUCCUUAGUCUUGUCCAAUCUGUGACAUAAUCAGUCUUUUUCAUCUUUCAUAGACUUGACACUUUUGAAGAGAACUGGUCAGUUAUUUAUAGAUGUCCCUUAGUUGGGAAUGGUCUUAUGUUUUUUCAUUAUUACUUUGAGGUUGUACCUUGCAGCAAAGAAUACCACUGAGUGACAUUGUGUCCCCCCUUUGCAUGUCAUACCUGAGGGCCUGUGACAUCAAUGUGACCUUCUACUUUAACUCUCAAUGAAGGGGACAUCUCCCAGGCUCCUCCACCUCCACGUCACCAUCCUCCCUCUAUAGUCAGUGAGCAUCCUGUGGGAAGGUGCCUAGACCCCAUGCAAACCUCCUGUUUCUUGUCAUAUUUUUACCCACUAUUUUUAGCAGUUCUUAAAAAUUCUUGCCUGUAAAAGUUAUUAUUCCUAUAUUUGCCUAGCAGAGAUUUUUUCUACUUCUCCUCUAUUGGAAGAAAGAGCUGUCCCUUCUCUCCUAUUGACUUAGCUGUUUGUUUAUAUUAGGAAAACUUGUGGGUCAUAAGUUUGAUACUAUCGUUAUACAUUUUGUGGCUCAAGUGCAACAAGCAUUGGUCAAGAACUUGUCACGUUGCUUCUCUGUCCUUCUAACGUACUCCCAUGUUUUUCAUUGUCGAGCUCAUGGCUUGGCAGCGUGGUUGUCCGAGAUGAUGUUUCCGUUUUCCUAGACGGAGCCCUGGACUCCCAUUUCUCUAGGGUUAACCCAUUCCUUAUAUUGGAGAAUAGUCUUAGAACCAAGACCAGGCACCAGGGAUGCUCUGCUUGGGUGUCACUGUCCCAGUCCUAUGCAAUCAGCAGGACAUGCAGCGCCCUUAUUUCUUUUUACAUUGAUCCCUUGGACCCAGGUGGGAAACCAUACAGUCAGGCUGUGAUUCAGCCCACACCAGUGCCCAUUUACGGCCUUCCUCCUCUCCUCAUUUAACAACUCCUGCUGACCAUGAAAAAUGUAGCUUUUAUUAUCCACAUUAUAAUAUUUUUUUCUAGAAUUUUUUAAAGUUAAAAGAAUUAUUUUAAUUUACACAUGAUUAUGGGGUACAGUGUUACAAUUUCACACAUACAUGUGAUUGUAAGGAUCUAAUCAGGGUAAUUACAUGUCCAUCUCCCUAAACACUUGUUCUUUCUUUGUGUUGGGAGUCUUGGAACUCUUCUCUUACAAUUCUUAGUAAGUUAUAUUAAAAAUUGUUGCCAUUUGUAAACUAUAGAUACCUUACUGUGCUGUAGAAUACUAGAACUCAUUCCUCUUUUCUAACCUGUUACCCAUAUUGACUUAAUUUUUUUGAUCCUAGUAAACACAUAAAAUAGUUCCAGAAUGAUCAAAUCGUAUUAAUCUCCCACCAAAGUGGAGAAUUCGUGAGAAUUUUUUUCCUUCUUCAGCCUCUUAUAUCUGGUUAAAUACCAUUUCCUCAGGAUACCUGGACUAGUUUUUCACCUUCCCUUCAGUCUGGUUAUGUUAAUCAUUUGUAAUACAGUAAAGCUCAUUUAUUGCUGUUUGCAUUCUAUCCUUGUUGAUUUUGAAUUGUUUGGGUUUUUUGUUUAUCGUGAAAUAUUUUAAUUUCAUUGUCAAAUCUGAAGUUUAAUUUUGCUGGAUACAGUAUUCUUGGUUGGAAUCCAUUAUUGUUUGGGUUUUUUGAUAUAAGAAACAUUACUGUGGCUGUGAGAAUCAUAACAUGUCAAAAGAUAGUCUCAAAGAAAUACUGCUUCCCACUGUUUCUGUGUCUCUUCCCCACUCCCUCCACCCUGUCCUCGCCCACUCCUCCUAGGCCACAAUCUCAGUUUCUGGUUUACCCUUCUCGUAUUUCUUUUGUAUUUGCACAAAUGAGCAGAUACAUUUUUAACAUAUCUUCUUUUUUACACGAAGGGUAGCACUAUAGACAUUCUUAUUUACUUGGUUUUUUUUUUUUUUUAACACUAUGUCCUAAAAGUGACAGAAAUAGUCCAUAUUAGGCUGCAUGGUGCUCCAUUGUAUGAAUGGACCAGUUUAUUCAAUUACUCUCCAGGGCUUGAAAAAUUUGGUUGUUUCCAUUUCAUUGCAACUACAAUCAGUGCUGCAACGACUAAGGCAUUGUAUGAGAAUUAAUUUGUCAAGUUUUGUUAUGUACAUAUAUGAAUCUACCACAGUGAAUUUCACAUUUGUGUAUAUCUAUAAAGGAUUAAUUUAAAAAAACGCUAAAGAUAAAUAGAAGAAAUGCCAGUAGCAUAGAAAAAGGAAACAGGGAAAGGGAGGAGGGAGGGAAGGCAGAAAUACUGGGCACUGAACUGGAGCAAAUUUUCUUGCAUACUUGCAUAUGUAUGUCAAAAUGAACCUCCGUAUUAUGUAAGACUAUAAUGAACAAAUUAAAAAAAAAAUUUUAAAACCCUGUUGAUUGAAAUUCCAUUAAAUUUACAGAUUGAGUGUAACUGAGGUCUUUGUGAUUUUGCAUUUUCCAACCCAAGAAUACAUAUGUAUCUCCAUUUGGUUAGCUUUUAUUUUAGACUAUCAAUAAAUAUGUCUUUAUAAUUUUUCCUUAAGCAGUCUUGAACAUAUAUUGCCAGUUUUAUUUCAAGAUCCUGAUUAGUAUUUGUUUUCUGUUAUUGUUGCUAUUGUAAAAGGAAUCCAUCUUAAAAUUACAGUUCUCCUUCUCUCUAUUUACAUGCACAAGCUGAUAUUGUAAACCAUUGCUUUAACGCCUUUGUAUCACCAGUAUGUCCUCUGUUUCUUCCUACUAAUCCUUUACUCCUUCUUUACCCCUUCCAUGGUGUUGUUUAUUUCCUCCUUAACAAAAUUAGCUAGAAGUGAUAAUAAAGGAUAUUCUUAUUUUUGAUCAGAACUUAAACAGUAGUGUUUGUGAUAUUCAUCAUGAGGCAUAAUAUUUGCUGUACAUUUUGAGUAGAUGCCCUUUAUCAGGUUAAGGAAUUGCCCUCCUGUUUUUUUUUUUUUUUGUUUGUUUGUUAGCUAUCAGUUUAAUCAUAUUAUUGAAUACUAUAAAAUAUUUUAAUGUCUGGGGGCCUCCUCUUUCCCUCUGCAUUGGGUUUUGUUUUAGUUUCCUCUCGACUAUUGUUACCUGUUUGUUCAUAAAAGCUGUAAUAUCACAGAACCUACCUCUGUGAAGAAACUUGUUGGCAAUUUUUCUCCAUAAUAUAAAAUUUUGAUAUUUGAAAUAAUAAUAUAUUAAUAUAUGUUUGAAAGUUUCUGAAAUUUGUUUGCUAAUAUUUUAUUUUGAAAAUUUGCAUCUCUGUUCAGGAGCAUGAUUGAAUUUUCAGUUUUCUGUCUUUUGAGAUCAAAGUAUAUCUGCCUCAUGAGAUGUGUGUUUACGUAUAGGUUUCUUUCUCUUUUUUCCAUUCUCUUCAAGACUUUGGAAUUAUUUAUUCCUUGAAGAUGUGGUAGAAUUUCUGUUUAAAACUCUUUGGCCCUGGUGUUUUUUAAUGAGCAGAUUGCAAUUACUGAUUCAAUUUCUCCAGUUCCUCAGUGGUUUAUUCAGAUUUUCUGUUUCUUUUUCAAACAAUUUUGAUUAUGUAUUUCAAUAAAACCCCCUGUUUCCCUUAUUUUCUAAUUCAUUUACAAUAUAUUUGCUAAAGCAUUCUUUUAUGAUCCCUAACCAUCAUGUUUGUAGCUGUAGACUCCGUUUGUCCACAGUAUCUUUUAUUUGUACUUUCUUUUUGUUGAAAAAAAAAGAAAGUUUAUCUACUUUUAAAGAAUUGGCUUUGGGUCUGUAAUUUUUUUCCCCCACUACUUCAUUAUUUUGGUUCAUUAAUUUUCAGUUUUUAUCCUUUUCUUUCCUCUAUUCAAUUUUCUUUGCUGAGAUUUCUUUUCCCUAAUUUUUUUGAUUGUACAUUUAGGUCAUUAAUUUUCAAACUUUUAUGUCAAGUGCAUGUACUUAAGCAAUAAAUUUCCCUCUAACUGUAGCUUUAUCUGCACCUUAGAGAUUUUUAUAAAUAGAGUUUUAAAUGUAACUCAGGGCUAAAUAUUUACAAUUAUUCUUCUUAUUAUUAAUCUGUGACCUACUUAAAAUCAUUUCAGAAACUUCUUAUUAAAGAUACAUUCAGACUUUUUCUUCUGGAUGGUAGAUUAAAAUUAGAAGUUGAUUAAGAUCUUGCUUAGAGAGAAGAAAAACAUGUUUUAAAAUCCCCAUAUGCAUAAGAUUUUUGUUUUUAAAAAUCAUUGAUUUAGCCAGGCAUGGUGGUGCAUGCCCAUAAUCCCAGUGGCUCGGGAGACUGAGGCAGGAGGAUCCAUGUUCAAAGCCAGCUUCAGCAAAAGUGAGGUGCUAAGCAACUCAGUUAGAUUUUGUCUCUAAAUAAAAUACAAAAUAGAACCGGGGAUGUGGCUCUGUGGUGGAGUGUCCUCGAGUUUAAUCCCCAGAAUCUCCCCAAAAAAGAAAAAAAUCAUUGAUUUAUAAUUUAAUUGCCCUGUGGUCAAGGAAAUCUUUUUGUAGAUAUCAGUUCUUUGCUAUAUGUUUACAUGUAUUUUGUGGCCUAAAAUGUCAUCAGUUUCUGCAAAUGUACAAUGUGUACUUGAACAGAUGGUGUAUUUUUUUUUGUUAGUUAGAGAAAUAUAUAUAUAUAUAUAUUCUACUCUACACUAAUGGUUGCAGUAUGUUUCAUGCCACAGCAUAAAUAGAAAACUCUUAUAUUUGUACAAUAUAGUAGCAUAAACUUGAGUUGAUUUAAAAGUGUUUUAUAUAGUUUAGUGAAAUAUUUAUUACACAUUCUUUAUGUAAAUUACAAGAAAAAAAUACAAAAUAUUAGAUAAGUCACUAACUAUAGUAGUCUCCCCUUAUCUGAGAUUUCAUUCUCUGUGGUUUCAAACACUGGUGAUCAACCACACUCUGAAAAUAUUAAAUAUAAAACUCCAGAAAUAAUUCAUGAGUGUUAAAUUGCACCCAUUCUGAGCAAUGUGAUGAAAUCUCCCGUGUCCUGCUCCAUUUUGACAGGGAGAUGAACCACCUCUUUGCCCAGUAUAUCCGUACUCUGUGUGCUGCCCAUCCUGGUCAGUGGCCGUCUCAGUUACCAGAUCAACUGUCAUGGUGUCACAGUGCUUGUGUUCAAGUCACCCUUGCCUGACCUAAUAUGGCCCCAAAGUGCAAGAGUAACGAUGCUGGCAAUUUGGAUAUGCCAAACCAGGAGCCAUAAAGUGCUUUUUUUUAAGUGAAAAGGUAGAAGUUGUAGAAUUAAUAGGUGAAGAAAAAAAAUCCUAUGCUGAGGUUAUUAAGAUGUAUGAUAAGUUACUGUCAUUAAUCUCCUACUGUAGCUAACUUAUAAAUUAAACUUUAUUUUAGAUAUGUAUAGGGACAACAUACUAUAUCUAGGGUUUGGUGCCGUUUGUGGUUUCAGUCAUCCACUGGGGUUUUAAAACAUUAUCCCAGGCAGUCAUGGGGGACUACUGUAUUUAACCUAAAUAAAAUAUUUUUAAAAAUUUACAGGAGAAGCUUGGAUUUUUUCCCAUGAACAUAAUAAUUUGACAUCUGGUUUUAUGUUUCAAGUGGCUAUACUAUAAUGAUCUCUUCUAAUCUCUCCAAAUUCUUAGUGGUAAAAGAAAAAAAAAAAACCAAUGAAAAACUAGACCCAAAUAAGUGGCAAAAAAAAUCAUGAAAAUCGUUAAAAAUUUUAUCUUCUAUUUCACGAAAAAAAUGUAAUGUUAAACUAUCCUGUGAUGGGCAUGGUGGCUCUGAAAGGUGUCCAUUUGACUAGGUGGAUUGCUUCACAGGAGUCCCCUCGUUGCUGAAAGCUCAGUCCUUGUCCCCAAUGUCAAUCCAAUAAUGAGGACACAGUUUGGAGAAAAAGUAAAAAGAAGGUUUGUUGCUUUGUUAGCAGAGGAGAAACACAGGGGACUCCUGUCCCGAAGGCUGUGAUGCUGCCCAUCAGCAGGAACGGGGGCUUUUAAAGAGGUGACUCAAAGGCUACAUUCCAGAGUUCUCUGUUGGAGUUGUAAUUCACUUGUUAACUUGGGAGACAGUCAUUUCUGGUGCCAUCCCCAAAGUCUGGAUUACUUCAUUCUUAUGGUGGGUGUGCUCAGGGACAGGUAAAUCUGGUAGGAUGAGGAAGAAAGGUAAUCCUGUUUCCCCUGAGACUGGGGAGGAGCAGGGAGAGAGGAAGAGAAAGAAACGUGUCCAUUUAAAAAAUAAACUGCAGGGGCAGAGCAGCCAGGGCUAUAUGCAAAGCGUGAAGUGGGCCUUCCCUGCGUGUUUCGCGUCAGGGUGGGCUAUGAGAGGCACUCUGCAAAGCUCUGGGGGUGGAAGUGGAGGUGAAGCCAUUCUGCUUGGUGUGCUGGGAGGUCGGGGCAGGUGCUUCUGAAAGCUCACUAGGUUGCUUAUCUGUUGGCUCAUCUCAUUUGCUUCUGGAAGGCUCUGGGCCUGAACCUGAUAUACCUUCCUCUGGAUCUUCCUUCAGCUUCCCUGAUCCAGGUGUGCAUUUAGCCCUGCAACCAAGAGUAUCCGCAGCUCCCUGGGGGAGGAGACGCAGGUCCGGGCCUUGGUUUCAGGCCACCCUUCUGGUUCCAGUUUGACUUCCCUCUCCCUCUUUACUCACAUCUUUUCCGUUCUUGGGCUUCAAAUCCAAUAUUCAAUGCAAAAAUAAUAUCCUAACAGAGACUGAUGAAUUCCCACCAACACUUAAAGUCAAAUCCUUGUAAUCUGACGCCUUAUCUCCUAGUGGUUCUGCUUUUCUAAUGGAACCUUGACUUAUGUACAAAGGACAAGUAGAUUCAAAUCCAAACAAAAUUUCACAUUCAAGUAUUUUUAAAUCUAGUGAAGCUUUCCUCCGACAAUACCCGGUUACUCUCACCUGGAACGGCCUGUGACUGCCUUGGCCAGUUGGGCAGGGACAGGCCUGCUCUCUACUUCUCUUUUUCUCCUAGGUUGCAGCCCCGCUCUUUAAAAGGACUCAGCAGCUCCUGCCUUGGCCUCCUGGUACGAGAGCUGCCAUGAAAGAAGGCCGCUGUCAUGCUGGAAAGACCGCGUGGAGGAGACCUGACUUGAUGUGCACAGGGAGAGGGCCCUUGGCGAGUCCAGCCAUCCAUCCCCGGUCAGGACAGAAGACCUUCACCUCAGGCUGCAGAACUCACUCACAGUAUAUUCAGAGGGGAGAAGAAAAUGCGACUUCAUUUUUCUUUAUUGGUUGAUACAAUGUUCCUCCCAAGUCUGUCCCUGGACUCCAGGGUUAAAUUGUAGCCUGACGUUGUAAACUUAGUCCAUUGGGCUCCAGGUGGACACUGGGUUUCCUUUCGGCUUUCCAAUGUCCCCUCCUUCCCUCUGCUCCUAGGCAGGUUCUGAGCAUAUAUGUGCCCGGUGGAUGGAAUCCUCUCUCAGACGUUGUGUGAUGCUGUCAGCUGGGAAGGUCCUGGCCCCCCUCGCUGGCCUGUGUGGCAGAGCGGUUCCCACAGGGAACCAGGGAAGUCUGUGAUGUUCCUUGAGGUGCUGGCAUCCAUCGCCGGAGAGCAUGGCUCCAGGGCUUGGUCUUUAUGCCCCAGUGAGGCUAAGGAAGGCGCUGGCUUGGUUCUGACUGCAGGCCCCGCUGCUCCUCCAGUACUUUCUAUGAGGGAAAAAGAGAAAGAAAGGAGCUUUCAGGUGAGAAGACGUGUCAGUGAGCUUCUGCUGCAGUGAUGCUGUGUAACAAACCACCACUGAUACUCAGGAGCUUAAAUACAUAUUUAUUUAGCUAAAUCAGCAAUAAAUAUUUAUUUAGUUCAGGGUGGGCAAUCUUUUUUUCUGUAAAGUGCCAAACAGUAAAUCUUUCAGGCUUUCCAAACCAUACAGUUUGAACUUUGUCCACAAAAGCAGCCAUAGGCCACAUGUGAAUAAAUAAAUGUCACUAUGUUACAAUAAAACUAUAUUG